AGAGUUUGAUCCUGGCUCAGGAUGAACGCUGGCGGUAUGCUUAACACAUGCAAGUCGAACGGUGUCUUCGGACACAGUGGCGGACGGGUGAGUAACGCGUGAGAAUCUGGCUCUAGGUCUGGGACAACCACUGGAAACGGUGGCUAAUACCGGAUGUGCCGAGAGGUGAAAGGUUAACUGCCUAGAGAUGAGCUCGCGUCUGAUUAGCUAGUAGGUAGUGUAAUGGACUACCUAGGCGACGAUCAGUAGCUGGUCUGAGAGGACGAUCAGCCACACUGGGACUGAGACACGGCCCAGACUCCUACGGGAGGCAGCAGUGGGGAAUUUUCCGCAAUGGGCGAAAGCCUGACGGAGCAAUACCGCGUGAGGGAGGAAGGCUCUUGGGUCGUAAACCUCUUUUCUCAGGGAAGAACACAAUGACGGUACCUGAGGAAUAAGCAUCGGCUAACUCCGUGCCAGCAGCCGCGGUAAUACGGAGGAUGCAAGCGUUAUCCGGAAUGAUUGGGCGUAAAGCGUCCGCAGGUGGCAAUGUAAGUCUGCUGUUAAAGAGUCUAGCUCAACUAGAUACAAGCAGUGGAAACUACAUAGCUAGAGUACGUUCGGGGCAGAGGGAAUUCCUGGUGUAGCGGUGAAAUGCGUAGAGAUCAGGAAGAACACCGGUGGCGAAGGCGCUCUGCUAGGCCGUAACUGACACUGAGGGACGAAAGCUAGGGGAGCGAAUGGGAUUAGAUACCCCAGUAGUCCUAGCCGUAAACGAUGGAUACUAGGCGUGGCUUGUAUCGACCCGAGCCGUGCCGUAGCUAACGCGUUAAGUAUCCCGCCUGGGGAGUACGCCGGCAACGGUGAAACUCAAAGGAAUUGACGGGGGCCCGCACAAGCGGUGGAGUAUGUGGUUUAAUUCGAUGCAACGCGAAGAACCUUACCAAGGCUUGACAUGUCGCGAAUCCUGGUGAAAGCCGGGAGUGCCUUCGGGAGCGCGAACACAGGUGGUGCAUGGCUGUCGUCAGCUCGUGUCGUGAGAUGUUGGGUUAAGUCCCGCAACGAGCGCAACCCUCGUUUUUAGUUGCCAGCAUUAAGUUGGGCACUCUAGAGAGACUGCCGGUGACAAACCGGAGGAAGGUGGGGAUGACGUCAAGUCAGCAUGCCCCUUACGCCUUGGGCUACACACGUACUACAAUGCUCCGGACAGAGGGCAGCAAGCAUGCGAAUGCAAGCAAAUCCCGUAAACCGGAGCUCAGUUCAGAUCGCAGGCUGCAACUCGCCUGCGUGAAGGAGGAAUCGCUAGUAAUUGCAGGUCAGCAUACUGCAGUGAAUUCGUUCCCGGGCCUUGUACACACCGCCCGUCACACCAUGGAAGCUGGUAGUGCCCGAAGUCAUUACUCCAACCUUUCGGGGAGGAGGAUGCCUAAGGCAGGACUGGUGACUGGGGUGAAGUCGUAACAAGGUAGCCGUACCGGAAGGUGUGGCUGGAUCACCUCCUUU
rnacentral:rRNA from 15 species